UUCUUAUCCAGAGAGGUGGAGGGGCUGGCCUUAUGAUACCUCAGCAACCGUCUAAAAAGACAAGGUGCUAAUUCCAGCAAGCGAAAUGAUGCUUGGAAGAUGAGAG
rfam:Gracilibacillus kekensis strain CGMCC 1.10681 genome assembly, contig: Ga0079828_101